AUGGCCUCCCCCCAACUCCCCUCCCCCUCUUCUCCGGAUUCCUCCCUCUCCCCGCCUCUCCGGCCGCCUAAUUUCAGUCGAUGGGAGCUGAAAGCUUUCAAAGGAACCAGAGAUUCGGAUGACUCGGUCGGACACGGAGGGAGGGCGAGGCCGAGAGGGGUCAGAGAGGGAGGACCGGUGCUGUCGGAUUCCCCCUCGGGAGCCGAGCCGAGCCGAGCAGGACCGUCCCUUCCCGUCCCUUCCCGUCCCGUCCCGUCCCUUCCCGUCCGCGUCCCGGCGACUGGAGGGUGGUCGUGGGGGCGGCCCCCGCCCGGGUGGGGCAGGGCGGCGCGGGCCUCGACUGAGCCUCCCAGCCGUAUAGGACAGAAAGAACUCCCGGAGAAGAUGGCAGCCCUGCUGACCUCCCGGUCAUCCUCAAGCCCCCAGCUGGAGAGAGUGGAGGUCAAGUCGGAGCGAGAGCCCCAAAAUGAGUUGGAGCGGAGCCCAGAGCCAGGAUCAGAGGAACAGCUGAGCCCCGACCUGGAGAUAGAAUCCGCGGCGGACCAGGAGAGGGCUUUGCCCGUUCCAUGGGUUCCAGCCAUUCCCAAGGAAGAAAGCCUUGAGGAUGAGGUGACAACUGAGUAUCUUCUACCCAAGCCCCAGGUAAGCUGCUGAUCUGCCUUCCUGAGAUGAAGCUCAAAACUUCCCCCUCCCGACUCGAUUCUACUCGCAUCACCCCCACCAUCCUCCCCACCAAGAAGAGGCGAGUUAAGAUUGCAGCACCAGGGACAGAAGUUAGCCCAAAGGAACUGCUUCCUGUUUGUCAGCAUUACUGUCACUGAAUUCAGUGCUAUCUUGCCUGAGGUAGGGAAGGGAGGAGAGCGGGAUUUUCUGCAGGGCCUAACCAGGUUUAGGAGUCCACGAUCGCGAACUCGGGAUUUACAUGGAGUUUUCCUCAAGUCCCUCUUCCCACCAAGUCUGGCCUCAUCCUAGGGAUUUCUGGGAUUCUCCAUAGCUUUCUCCUUUGCCUCUCCACCUUCCUCUAGGACUGGGCUUAGGAACCUGGGGCAUAGCCUGGCUGGUAAGAUGCCCACUGAGCCACUAGUGGCUGGUUCCUGCAGUGAAAUUCCACAACUGACCUCCCCUCUUCCCCAGGGUCCUCCCCAGUAACGGGAAUUGGACUGAGAGUGCAACAGAAGGGAAUGAGGGUUAUCCCUCUUCCCCAGGUCCUCUCUCAGCAUUUCCA
rnacentral:lncRNA from 1 species